UUUUCAGUUAAACGUGUGACGUUCAGCUGAUAAGUUCAGUGUUCGAAAAUCACCAGCGAUUUUGAGUAUUAUUAAUUCGAAAUUUAUGUACAUUCCGUUUCAAUUCGAUUCAUUUCGUUUCGGUCCGGUUCGGUUCGAUGUUCGUGCGGGGUGGUACUGUCUGAGUUUGAUAAAAAGCACAUAAUUGUACGAUGAAUUGUUUUUGGGCGUCGAAAAUUUGUAGCGGCAGACCAUAGCCGACAAAUGUCACGAAAUUUGAGUUGUUGCAUAUGACUGCCACAAUAUAUCUAAUCGUUAACGGUAAAUGUGUAUGUGAAUGUGUAAGUGUUUGACUGAAAUUUAAGUCGUAGCCGGUGUUCGUGAGUGGGUGGGUGCUUCGAUGAAUUAUUCAAGCAUUUGUAUGCAAGCUGCAAUUGUUUGCGUGUGCGUGUAUGUGUGUCCCACCCGGCAACUAUGUAUUUGCGAGUGCACAGACUAACUGAUUUGUAUGAAGGUUAGUCCAGACGCGGUGCACCACACACCUACAAACAACAACGACUCGCUCACAGCAACUGAAAACACAAAAUGCUGGAAGCAUCGGAAAAUUGAAUUUUUUCUAAAGCAAAAAUCUCGCAUGAGCAAGUGAAAAAAUUGGCAGAGAAGUGGUGUAUAAGUGCACUUAAAAAAAUAGUGGAUUUUCAAAGGUACAUACUUGCAUACAUAUGCGACAAAUAACAGCAGCGCCUCUCUUUUGCAAACAAGACUUUUUUGAAUUUGCUACAAGAAAAGUUCGAGUAAGGAAAAGGUUAUUAAUCACAGCCGCGUGCAUGCAAUAAAAGCUACACGUCUUUGUCGAUAUUUUCAUUUCGGACGUGCUCGAAAAUAUUACCGGCAACGCAUGUAAUUCUUUUGCCAAUGGCAAGAGCAACAACAAACAUAGCCAAUAAAGACUUGUUCUAAGUAAAAAGGAUAACACUACAAAUACACAUGGAUAUUGCGUAUGUAUGUAUGUAUGCAUAUGUACAUAUGGGUUUGUGUGUCAUUUGCUAAGCUACAACUUGUAGAGAAUUCAUUUUGAUGCUAGUCAACAUUGAGUGAUUUUUCAUUUUCUUCUACGCUUUUUUUUUGGGUAAGUGCAGUACGUGAUUAUA